GACGAACGCUGGCGGCGUGCUUAACACAUGCAAGUCGAACGGAAAGGCCCUGCUUUUGUGGGGUGCUCGAGUGGCGAACGGGUGAGUAACACGUGAGUAACCUGCCCUUGACUUUGGGAUAACUUCAGGAAACUGGGGCUAAUACCGGAUAGGAGCUCCUGCUGCAUGGUGGGGGUUGGAAAGUUUCGGCGGUUGGGGAUGGACUCGCGGCUUAUCAGCUUGUUGGUGGGGUAGUGGCUUACCAAGGCUUUGACGGGUAGCCGGCCUGAGAGGGUGACCGGCCACAUUGGGACUGAGAUACGGCCCAGAAUCCUCCGGGAGGCAGCAGUGGGGAAUAUUGCACAAUGGGCGGAAGCCUGAUGCAGCAACGCCGCGUGCGGGAUGACGGCCUUCGGGUUGUAAACCGCUUUCGCCUGUGACGAAGCGUGAGUGACGGUAAUGGGUAAAGAAGCACCGGCUAACUACGUG
rnacentral:rRNA from 1 species